GACGAACGCUGGCGGCGUGCUUAACACAUGCAAGUCGAACGGAAAGGCCCUGCUUUUGUGGGGUGCUCGAGUGGCGAACGGGUGAGUAACACGUGAGUAACCUGCCCUUGACUUUGGGAUAACUUCAGGAAACUGGGGCUAAUACCGGAUAGGAGCUCCUGCUGCAUGGUGGGGGUUGGAAAGUUUCGGCGGUUGGGGAUGGACUCGCGGCUUAUCAGCUUGUUGGUGGGGUAGUGGCUUACCAAGGCUUUGACGGGUAGCCGGCCUGAGAGGGUGACCGGCCACAUGGGGACUGAGAUACGGCCCAGACUCCUAGGGGGGGCAGCAGGGGGGAAUAUUGCAAAAGGGGCGGAAGCCUGAUGCAGCAACGCCGCGUGGGGGAUGACGGCCUUGGGGUUGUAAACCGCUUUCGCCUGUGACGAAGCGGGGGUGACGGUAAUGGGUAAAGAAGCACCGGCUAACUACGU
rnacentral:rRNA from 1 species